CCUACGGGUCGCUGCAGUGAGGAAUAUUGGUCAAUGGGCGCGAGCCUGAACCAGCCAAGUAGCGUGAAGGAUGACUGCCCUACGGGUUGUACACUUCUUUUAUAAAGGAAUAAAGUGAGGCACGUGUGCCUUUUUGUAUGUACUUUAUGAAUACGGCUCGUCUAACUCCGUGCCAGCAGCCUCGGUCAUACGGAGGAUCCGAGCGUUAUCCGGAUGUAUUGGGUUUAAAGGGAGCGUAGAUGGGUUGUUCAGUCAGUUGUGAAAGUUUGCGGCUCAACCGUAAAAUUGCAAUUGAUACUGGCAGUCUUGAGUACAGUUGAGGUAGGCGGAAUUCGUGGUGUAGCGGUGAAAUGCUUAGAUAUCAAGAAGAACUCCGAUUGCGAAGGCAGCUUACUAAACUGCCACUGACAUUGAUGCUCGAAAGUGUGGGUAUCAAACAGGAUUAGAUACCCCAGUAGUC
rnacentral:rRNA from 1 species